CAAAAUCGGUCCAAUUGUAGCGGAGAAAUCGUGUAUAGUGUCACAAAAAAAAAAAAAAAAAAAGAAACUAAGACCAAUACCUUUUUAGCUACACAUCCAUUCUAAAAGUGAAACUACGACUCGGGUUGACUAGACCAUGGCUUGAUCUAAAAUUUCGGACCAUAACAAAAAAUGAGCACAUUAACUUAAGCAAGCAGGCGUAUUUAUAUGAAAAUUGCUGUAAAAAACGUCUAUCGAGAUUGAAGGACUUAAAAAAUACAUAAAUUUCGACAAAUUUGGGAGGAGGUAAAAUGUUUCUUUUUAUGUAAAAUUCUCAGUAUAAAAUUCUAUAGAAGCCAUUAAAGGGUAAUGUAUAUUUUUAAAAUAAAUCGUUCAAAAUAAAGUAUCGAGUAAUCUAAAAAAAUUAUCUCUAAAUAAUUAAUUGAAAUUAAAAUAAAAUUAUUUUAUAAAUAGUUUCGUUACUCUAACUGUUAGUUCGAGUUAAAUUACUGCACAACACUAAUUGACUUAAGAUUCAUUUAGGCGCAAAUAGGGUUUAUGUAUUAUAACUAAUUCAAUCAACAUAAUAAAUUCAACAUAUAAAUUGUUUUCACAGUUUACGUCAAUGAUGAUAAAUUUGCUGUUUAAUUACAAAAAAAAAUGAUGUAUAUAUAUUGAGUCCAAGAUUGUUGCAAUAUGCAUCAAAAGAAACAUAUUAAGUUGCGUGUAAUCUUAGUGGAUCAACUGAUUAAGAUUAAUUAAGAACAUAGAAUACUAUUAGCUUCUGAAAACAUCAAAUUAUAAUAUUUGUUAAAGAUAUUUUGUGAGGCUAAUGAACGGAACAUCCUAAGUUAUAUAAUUAUAUAUUAUAUAGGUUUUGUCAUAAUUUAGAUGAUACUAGUAUAUCAUAUAGACAAAUAUCAGCGUUGAGAAAAUUGUUGUCGAUUUAAAUGGAACUCUUUCUCCUUUUUUGAUAAAAAAAAUAUAUAAAAACCUGAUAUUAUUAUAACCACAAUAUUAGUUAUUUUAGCUUAAAAUUAAAGUAACAAGGGGCUCACUGAGCUUUUUUCUGUAGCUCGCCUAGCCUAUCAUAGACUGAUUGUUAAUAGUCAAUGUAAAAGUACAUUUUUAUUUAUAAAACUUAGAAACAAAGAAAAAAAUUUACAACACUAAAAUUUAAUUAAUAAACAGUUGC